AUUGAACGCUGGCGGCAGGCCUAACACAUGCAAGUCGAGCGGAGCGGCGGACGGGUGAGUAAUGUCUGGGAAACUGCCUGGUAGUGGGGGAUAAAGUCCGGAAAAGGGCGCUAAUACCGCAUACUAUCAGAUGAGCCUAGGUCGGAUUAGCUAGUUGGUGGGGUAAAGGCCUACCAAGGCGACGAUCCGUAACUGGGCUGAGAGGAUGAUCAGUCACACUGGAACUUAGACACGGUCCAGACUCCUACGGGAGGCAGCAGUGGGGAAUAUUGGACAAUGGGCGAAAGCCUGAUCCAGCCAUGCCGCGUGUGUGAAGAAGGUCUUCGGAUUGUAAAGCACUUUAAGUUGGGAGGCGUUACCAACAGAAUAAGCACCGGCUAACUUCGUGCCAGCAGCCGCGGUAAUUC
rnacentral:rRNA from 1 species